CUCUUUGGAACUCUGACAUGGUAGCCGAAGGGAUGGAGACAGUUACAGAGGAGGGAUGUACCCAUCGCUCAAGAAGCCUGUUGAAUUGGCUCACAAUCCUCCAGAAGGCUGCGAUUGUGCAUGCAAACCUGUGUGACAUUCCAUAGACUGAGAGUUGGAGAGGGCAGGGGCUAGGGCAUGAAAGACAAGGGUGAGCAUCUUUCACAUCAAUCUUGGAGGAAGGUCGAGGACUUGCCUGUCUGCUAAAAGGUAGGAACUUCCAUGGAAGUGUAAAGGUCUGAGGGCGGAAACUUAGUAGGGAGGCGACAGAAUGGGAAGGGAAGCCGGUUGGACCCUGGGGCAGCCUCCCAGUCACAGAGGCUACCAAGGAGCCUACACAGAAGGGAGGUGGCAGGGCAGCAGGGGCCCCACACCCAUCAGCCAUCUGCUGGAAUUCUCAGUGUCCUCAAAGCUGAAGUGCUGCACUGUAUGCCGUUAUUUUUCUUCUCUUUUAUUAUUGUUUUUUGGUGGACUGGAGUUUGAAUGAGGUAACGAUCAAGAGGGAAAGACUCGUCGAUUGACCCUGUCACCCGCCUCACUGCAUCUCUAACAGGCCUGUAGCCCUGUAAACGUGAGGAGCAGCUCAGGGUUGACAGAGGGCCAUUGCCUCCCUUUUUCUGUCACUUCCUCCAUUGCCUCAACCCCUGUCCAGAAGAGCGCACCUUCAUUCAACAAGCAUGGAUCAAGCACUCGUGACGUGCCAGCCAGGGCGCUGGGGAAAUGAUGAGGGUUGGGUUCCGUGGUGGCCGACACCCAGCCCCUCCUCCACAGUGCCUGUCUCCUUGCUGGUAUCUUGGCAGGCUCCCGUUCUCCCAUCAGACGCUACACUCACACAUGCUGCACAUACUGGUGAAUAGCUUCUUGCAGUCCAUCCUGGCACGGUCCCCAAAUUCCGCAGGGAACAGGGUGUGCUUCAGCCCUCUCCCUCUCUCACUAAGGGCUAGGAAGUUUUGAGUCUUCCAUCUCACACACCCCAGAGGCUGCGUUGCCGAGAAGACACAGGGGCAAUGUGAGGCCUUCUUAUUCCUGACCCACGAGAACGAUGCCAAGUUGGGGACAAGAAGGGUAGAGGCUUGUUUUGCUUUCAUUCCUGCUUUAUGCCAGGCACUCUGAAAGGCAUUGUGUACACUAUUUUCAUCAUCAGACAAUAGCCCAUAAUACUUUGUCUGACAUCUGACAAAGAACGAUCAGCCUCAUUUUACAGAUGGUGAAACUGAAGGAGCAUGUUCAUGUUCAUACAGCACAAAGUGGCUCUGGGAUUUCAACCCAUAGAGGAGUGUUAGAAUAAUACCCUCACAAAUUCAAUGUUGAAAGUGCUAAUGAAGUCCGGGCGCGGUGCCUCAUGCCUGUAAUCCCAGCACUUUGGGAGGCCAAGGCGGGCAGAUCACCUGAGGUCAAGAGUUUGAGACCAGCCUGACCAACAUGGAGAAACCCCGUCUCUACUAAAAAUACAAAAUUAUCCGGGCGUGGUAGCACAUGCCUGUAGUCCCAGCUACUUGGGAGGCUGAGGCAGGAGAAUUGCUUGAACUUGGGAGGUGGAGGUUGCAGUGAGCUGAGAUUGCGCCACUGCACUCCAGCCUGGGCGACAGAGCGAGACUCCAUCUCAAAAAAUAAAUAAAUAAAUAAUAAAUAAAUAAAAUAAAAAAAGUGCUAAUGAGACAGAAAAGGGCACUGAAAGAUCCGGUCACCCAGGGACCUCUCAAUUGCUCAGAUUUGGAGAAGGUGGGGAGAGAAGAUUGCGUCAAACAGACCUGAGAUCCGAUCCCAGCUCAGUCAUUUCCAGCUGUGUGACCUUGGCAAUGGAUGGCGCCUCUCCUUCCAUCCUCUACAGAAGGAGGAAGAGAUGUUUAAAGUGGAAAUAAGAGAAUUGGAGUUCUGAAAAUGUGAGAAUCAAAUCUACAGCCCCAUUUGUUCAGUGACUUCCUAUCUCCACCCCGUGAAGUUCACCAGAGGCACCGAGGGAACUUGCCCAGAUGGUUGUGGUGGCAUUGUCCCUGGUGUGUGAGGAAUUUUGGAGAAUACAAGAGGUGUAAAACUACUGUAGAUGAAAAUAGGAGGUUCUAAUCUUUAAGAAGAGGGAAAGAUAUUUUCAAAAUUCUGGGGUUUCAUUACCACAACUGUUGUGGAAGGUUAGAGAAAAAAAGAGGGACCAUCAGGAGCUAGAUGGGGUUCACUAAUUAAUCCCCGACUACUCAAGUGAGAAUGGGCAUCACCUGGGAGACUGUCAGAACGUCAAGAGGAUCCCACUCCACUCCGCACCUGUGAAUCACAGUUUGCACUUAACAAGAGGCAUAGAUGAGUCAAAUGUACAUUCAAGACCAAGAUGCACACCAUAACCUGUUCGUUUUUGUUUGUUUGUUUGUUUGUUUUUGAGACGGUCUUGCUCUGUCACCCAGGCUGGAGUGCAAUGGCGCGAUCUCAGCUCACUGCAACCUCUGUCUCCCGGGUUCAAGCGAUUGUCCUGCCUCCACUUCGUGAGUAACUGGAAUUACAGGGGUGCAUCACCAUGCCUGGCUAAUUUUUGUAUUUUUAGUAGAGACAAGAUUUCACCAUGUUGAGGCUAGUCCCGAACUCCUGAGCUCGUGAUCUGCCCUCCUCAGCCUCCCAAAGGGCUGGGAUUACAGGUGUGAGCCACUGUGCCCAGCCCGUAACCUGUUCUUCAACCCUAUAAGUAGGUGAGUGAUUGUAAAGGUGCCAUGGAAAGCUAAAAGUUCCUUCAGGAACCUCUUCCUCCAGGAGAGGAUUGGAGGGGCACUGUGCAGGGCGGGGUUCUGCCUCCUUUGCCCCAUGGUUUCGUUCACUUGUUUUACACAGUGGGCUUCCAACUAAACUUUCCUUUGAAGAGCCGGGCCACAGCCAAAGAUGUUUGAAAAUCGUCUGUGCUGUGUUAUGGAACAUCUGUGCUAUGGAAUGUUGCACAGCCUUACGAGGCAUGAACUGGAUCUGGGCCCACUGACAGAAUGGUCCCAGAGACAAAUUGUUUAGUGAAAAAAGCAAGUCUCAGGCCGGGCAUGGUGGCUCACAUCUGUAAUCCCAGUGCUUUGGGAGGCCAAGGCGGGCAGGUCACCUGAAGUCAGGAGUUCGAGACGAGCCUGGCCAACAUGGUGAAACCCUGUCUCUACUAAAAAUACAAAAAUUAGUUGAGUGUGGUGGCAGGUGCCUCUAAUUCCAGCUACUUGGAUGGCUGAGACACAAGAAUCGCUUGAACCAGGAAGGUGGAGGUUGCAGUGAGCCGAGAUCACACCACUGCACUCUAGCCUGGGUGACAGAGUGAGACUCCAUCUCAAAAAAAAAAAAAAAGAAAAAAAAGAAAGAAAGCAAAAAGCAAAAAGCAGCCGCCAGGCACAGUGGCUCACGCCUAUAAUCUCAGCACUUUGGGAGGUCAAGUCGGGUGGAUUACCUGAGGUCGGAAGUUCAAGACCAGCCCAACCAACAUGGAGAAACCCCGUUUCUACUAAAAAUACAAAAUUAGGACCGGGCGUGGUGGUUCACGC
rnacentral:lncRNA from 1 species